rnacentral:rRNA from 1 species
UACGGAGGAGGCAAGCGUUAUCCGGAAUUAUUGGGCGUAAAGCGUCCGUAGGUGGCUAGUCAAGUCUGCGGUCAAAGACUGGGGCUUAACCCUGGAAAGGCCGUGGAAACUGACGAGCUAGAGUGCAGUAGGGGUAGAGGGAAUUCCUGGUGUAGCGGUGAAAUGCGCAGAUAUCAGGAGGAACACCAGCGGCGAAGGCGGCGCUCUGGGCCGGUACUGACACUGAGGAGCGAAAGCGUGGGGAGCAAACAGG